rnacentral:misc_RNA from 1 species
GUGAAUCAUCGAAUUUUUGAACGCAAAUUGCACUCUCCUCUAAUAGGAUGCCUGUUUGAGGUUCAGCCUAUAAAAAAUCGACAUCUUUGCUGUUUCUCGGUUGCUUUCGUCGUAGAUGGGAGCAUCUUACUUCUUUUGGUUUUAAGCGACUUAAAAUUUUCUUUUUGGUUCCGUGAACGUUUCUAAGAUUUAUUUCGUUACACGUUUAUGUUAUCGAUUUUUACGAGUCUUGACCAUCAUAUCGGAUCACGUCCAUA